UGACGUCACAGGCCGCGGAGGGGGGCGCCGCCGGGGGAAGUGGGUGCGGCCGAGUUCGCGCUGGGGCGGGGCCCGAAGCUGGGCGGUGUCCACUGGGGGCUCUGGGCUCCUCCAGGGCCUCGUCGGGGACCCGAGGAAAACGACCUUCUUUUCUCUUGCAGCGGCGGGGAGGGCGGACUGGAGGACCGCGGCUUGGUGCCGGAUCCGAAAGGAAGCCAAGGCUAAGGGCAAAAUAGAUUGGACAUUUUCACUUUCUCAAGCCAGGGUCACCGGUCGCCCAACCAGCAGCCACUGAGGGUGGUAUGGGGCGCCCCUUCCUCUGGCAGCGGAUUUCAGCCCCCGGGGCAUCUCCCACCCCGGCCAUCCCCAGCACCUUUGCAAGGACAGCAGCACAGCCAUAGCAGAGGUCUUGGGCACCCUAGGAAUAACGUGCUGGUAUAAAUGUUGGAUUGAGAAAGGAAGAGAAAACAUCUGGGGUCAAUUUGGGGCCCUCUGGUUUGACACGGGAGGAAACGCCAAGCAGCAGCGGUGGGGGAAGGUGCUUCCUCUCUCUCUUCUCUGUCUCUCGCUGUUUCUCUCUUUCCGCCACUCCCCCUCUUUCUCUCCCCCUCUCCCCUCCCUCUGUGUGGCCAGGUGAUCUGACUCAGAAGUGCACGUUGGUCGUGCUUUCGGGGAGCUGGCAAGCAAGAGACUGAACCUUUGCACACGUCAAGCAAGGUCUGGCCUGCUUUGAAGCCAGUGAUUUUAGAGCUACUUGGCCUCCGCGUCACGGGCAGACAUCAGGGCAGUCAGUGGUGGGGUGGCAGGGCAUCCAUCCUGAGACCUCCCAUGCCCCAUCUUUUUGGCCCCAGUGCUUCUGCGUGAGUGCAGAGAGAGAGAGGAACACAGUUCAUUGGUUAUGCUUACUUUUCACUAUUUGCAUUUUUAAAUUUUUGUCUUCUUUAAUCUUCCUGGUCUUGCUUUUACUCUAUGACAUGCCCUUCAUCCAAAGGAUUCUAUCUGUAGAUGAAUCAGGGCAUCUCAGAUCCCUUUAUUGGCAACCAGCCUUCCUGCACAGGAUGGAAGGGAGGGCAAUGAAAUUCCCUUGUGUCAAGGGAGGCUCUGGGGAAAAGUUCUGUAAUGCCUCUGGAUGGCCAUUGUAAACCUCUGUGUAGACACAUGUGGAAUCCAUUGAUCGGUACAUUCACUGCAGGUGUCUGCACUUUACUGUGUGUAUGUUGUACUUCAAAGGGGGUAUAUUCCCAGAGUCCACGCAAAGGCUUACUAAACACCUACCGAGUACACAAAGCAUCGCUAAGCUCUGUGGAUACAGCUUCCACCCACAGGAAGCUUACAGUCUGAUGAGGGGCCAAUUAAGAGCAUCUGGCAUUUCCAAUUUCCCUUCUUAGGACAACCCGAUGGAAAGUGGCCUGGGUGGCAAGGAAAAAACAACAUGUAAACAACUCAGGUUUCAUCCAUAUAAGACAGACGAUCUUGGCCGGGAGCGGUGGCUCACACCUGUAAUCCUAGCACUUUGGAGACCGAGGCAGGCAGAUCACAAGGUCAGGAGUUCAAGACCAGCCUGGUCAAUGUGGAGAAACCCUGUCUUUACUAAAAAUACAAAAAUUAGCCAGGCAUGGUGGUAGGUACCUGUAGUCCCAGCUACUCAAGAGGCUGAGGCAGGAGAAUCGCUUGAACCCAGAGGGAGAGGUUGCAGUUAUCACGCCAUUGCACUCCAGCCUGGGCAACAGAGCAAGACUCAAACUCAAAAAAAAAAUUUUUUUUCCAGACGGAUGUGUGCCAAAGCCAGUGUGGAGAACAUGGGGCAGGCGAGAGGAAGAACCAGGCGUCCCCAUUGCCCAGAGCAGUGUUGAUGAGCUACCAGAAACAGGUCUGCAAGAUUCAUCACCUUCCUCCUGCUUCCCCUGAAUUCUAAUUAUUGUUGUCAGGAACUGCUGAAGUAGUAAAAACUGCUGGCAACCAAGACACAUAAAAGCUAAGCUCCAGUUGCUGUGUGUGAUUUCCAACACAUAUUUAUUAUCUCUGUUUAAUAAUAAACCUCUUUACACACAGCCAUGUGUUGUAAAGAAGAUUCUCCCUCUCUCUUUGUCUCCCUCUCAAAAUUACUAGGGAGGAAAUGCUACGCAAACUGAUUUGCAUAAAAGGCUGGGCUAAUCUGUCCUUUUCACCUCCGACCUGUAACACUUACUGACGACUUGUGUGACAAAAGCGGACACUGGCAUAGACAUGCAAAUGGUGCUGCUGGGUGGGUUUUUGUUGCUGUUGCCUGUUCGUUGUUUGUCUAAUUAUCUUUGUGAUGCUUGAGUACUUUAUUCAGGGCUAAGAUGACGGAAGCAUAAUGCUAACAGUGGUUGAAAUCAAUCUUGUCCCCUAGUUUUAAGAACAUGCCAUAUUCUUGAACUCCUGCAGGUAAGCUUACUGUGUAAGAUUCUCUCCUGAAUUUUAUAUUGCUAUAUAUUAGGAACAGAAUGAUUAACAGCAAUGAGCUAGAUGAUUUGACAAUCUGUAUCUGAGAAAAACAAGGAAACUAGAAAUUCAUCUGAGAAUUAAAAAAAAAAAAAAAACAAGGCCGGGAGCGGUGGCUCAAGCCUGUAAUCCCAGCACUUUGGGAGGCCGAGGUGGGUGGAUCACGAGGUCAAGAGAUCGAGACCAUCCUGGUCAACAUGGUGAAACCCCGUCUCUACUAAAAAUACAAAAAAUUAGCUGGGCAUGGUGGCGCGUGCCUGUAAUCCCAGCUACUCAGGAGGCUGAGGCAGGAGAAUUGCCUGAACCCAGGAGGCAGAGGUUGCGGUGAGCCGAGAUCGCCCCAUUGCACUCCAGCCUGGGUAACAAGAGUGAAACUCUGUCUCAAAAAAAAAAACCAGAACAGUCAUAGCCACUGAAUCUUAGUUUAGAAAAUGAGACAGCUCCAGUAAAGAAAGUCCAGAUACACAUAAGAGCUCUAACAGAGGCCAACUCACUCAUCUCUCAUCUUAGAGUAUGUGGAAAGCUUGUAAUAGGAGAGAAAAACAAUGAAUAAUUGAUUCCCACUGGAGGAAGUCUCCUCAGGCAACAUCAAGCUAAGACUUAGAAUGAUGGGGAAAUGCCCCAGUCAUAAUAUUUUGGGGAAAUUUCUUUUCCCCAAAAUAUUAUAUAUUAGAAUCCUACAGUAGGUCCAUGGUUGGUUAAACCAAAGGAGGCUCUUUGAUAUGGUUUGGCUGUGUCUCUACCCAGGUCUUACCCUGAAUUGUAAUCAUCCCAGGUGUCAAGGGUGGGACCAGGUGGAGAUAAUUGAAUCAUGGGCAUGGGGGUUUCUCCCAUACUGUUCUCGUGAUAGCAAGUUCUCACGAGAUCUGAUGGUUUUAUAAGGGGCUUCUCCCCUCAGCACUCAUCCUCGCUCCUGCCACUCUGCAAAGGUGUGUUUUCCACCAUGAUUGUAAGUUUCCUGGGACUUCCCUAGCCAUGCAGAACUGUGAGUCAGUUAAACCUCUUUUCUUUAUAAAUUACCUAUUCUCAAGUAUUUCUUCAUAGCAGCAUGUCAAUGAACUAAUACACUUGUGUACGCAUUGUAUUGUUUACUAGACUGCAGAUAGAAAUUUUUGUGUGUUGAUAAUUUUAUUAAAGCAAUUCUACCCUCCUC